AAGAUGUUUUCUGUUAUGAAGAAAAAUAAAAGAAACUGGACAUGUGACUCUGAUCCCUGGGGGACAGGCCGUGUUUUAUUACUGUUUGUGCCCCUUGUUCCAACACCAGCUGGGUCACAGUAGGUGCUCAAUAAAUGUUUACAAAUGUGGGAGGGGCAAGGGGCUGAUGCAUUCACUGGUCCCUUACAGAUGGCGUGGGCUGGACUGGAACUUUUUGCUAUGGCCCCUUCCCGACAUUCUCAUAUGAAAUCCAGCAUGGUUGGAAGCCCUCAGUUCUCAGAGGAAGCAUUGUGCUAAUGAAAAGCUUCAGAUCAACCCUGAAGGGAAUGAUUCAGGUUUACAAAUCAUUGUGCUCCCAGUUGGGUUUUAUUUUAAGCACAGGAAAAUGCAAAACAUCCUGGAAUAUAUUACUCACGAUUAUUGCCAAGGGAAAGAAAUCUGUCUCCUAUUUGAAGAACCGCCUGGCGAUAGAUUUUGGCAAUCACACAGAACUUUGCAAUUUGCAACGGGCUCCACUUCAUUUGAUCCCAGGAGCUUGUGAGAGAGAUGACUCCAGAAACUCCAGUAUUUCCAGAUGA
rnacentral:lncRNA from 1 species